GAAAAAAUAAAAAAAAAAAAAAGAACAAAUAGAAAACGCCAACAAUAUUAAAAGCAGUGGCCGUCUCUCAGCAAUGACGGCCCUGCUCACGGCCUUGUUGUCUAAUGAUAGUCUUGCUAAUGAUGCGUUCGCACACGCACACGUAUAGUGGUAACGAGAGACUAUUUUACCUACCAGUCAUCUAUGGUUGGGCAUCGUUCAAGCCAGAAACAUUUAACAAUAAAUCACUCGAUUUUAAGUAAAAAUUAAAAGUGGAAAGUGAAAAUUAAUAGUCUGUAACACACGAAGUUCUUCUACGUUUGAAUAGAAAGAAAAAAAAAAAAAAAGAAAAAUAACUUUCUUAGAUUCUUCGUUAAAAAAAAAAAUAAAUGGAGUGGAUCUGGUGAUCAAUUUUAAUCCGUUCAGUCAAUAAUUAUUAAAUUUAAUUAUUUCAUAAUUGAUUUCCUAAACCGAUUACUAAUCACUUGACUAAAUAACAGGUUACCUAGAGACAAAAAAAGUCCUUCAAGUUGAUUGAGUAUGAAUACAUUGAAUUUAAAGCAUCGCGAGAUAUGUAAGAUAUUUAUUUUUUAAAUUGAUACGGCAAAGAAUAAAGAAAAAAUGAAAAAUAAAUAAAGGAUCUUAGUCUUCAUGAACCUUUAUAACUAAGAAACAAUACGUCUCUAAAGACCGGAGGAGAAAAACUUGUUGUGACCCCCUUUUACAAUGUUCAAUAAAAUGAUGUUCAACGUAUUCAAUACGCUAUGUUCAGUAAUAACUCACGCCAUUGUCUCAACUAACGAGAGAAUCAUCUUUGACAAUAUUAAAAUAACAUAACAAAUAAAGUAAUAAUAUAAUAUUGAAUAAAAAUUGGCAGCACCACUCCCUC
rnacentral:lncRNA from 1 species